rnacentral:rRNA from 1 species
GUGCCAGCCGCCGCGGUAAUACGUAGGGUGCGAGCGUUAAUCGGAAUUACUGGGCGUAAAGCGUGCGCAGGCGGAUUGUUAAGCAAGAUGUGAAAUCCCCGGGCUUAACCUGGGAAUGGCAUUUUGAACUGGCAGACUAGAAUAUGUCAGAGGGGGGUAGAAUUCCACGUGUAGCAGUGAAAUGCGUAGAGAUGUGGAGGAAUACCAAUGGCGAAGGCAGCCCCCUGGGAUAAUAUUGACGCUCAUGCACGAAAGCGUGGGGAGCAAACAGGAUUAGAUACCCUGGUAGUCCACGCCCUAA